rnacentral:rRNA from 1 species
GUGGGGAAUAUUGGACAAUGGGCGAAAGCCUGAUCCAGCCAUGCCGCGUGUGUGAAGAAGGUCUUCGGAUUGUAAAGCACUUUAAGUUGGGAGGAAGGGUAGUAACCUAAUACGUUGCUACUUUGACGUUACCGACAGAAUAAGCACCGGCUAACUUCGUGCCAGCAGCCGCGGUAAUACGAAGGGUGCAAGCGUUAAUCGGAAUUACUGGGCGUAAAGCGCGCGUAGGUGGUUCAGUAAGUUGGAAGUGAAAUCCCCGGGCUCAACCUGGGAACUGCUUUCAAAACUGCUGAGCUAGAGUACGGUAGAGGGUAGUGGAAUUUCCUGUGUAGCGGUGAAAUGCGUAGAUAUAGGAAGGAACACCAGUGGCGAAGGCGACCACCUGGACUGAUACUGACACUGAGGUGCGAAAGCGUGGGGAGCAAACAGGAUUAGAUACCCGUGUAGUCC